GGGAGCUUCAGCCCUUAUUCUAUAGGCCUUAGAUUUAAAUGGCAUCUAAUGUCACACUUUAGAAAAACAUCGACAGACCUUUCCAUUUUAAGUUGUGUCGAUCUUUACAGGGAGCAAUAGGCAUUAAAGGGCAGGAACUUUUUGGAGCCGUAAGAAGGAGAGUGACUUUGUCUUUUCUCCCAGAAACCAGGCCAUGUUUGUUCUGUUAUUGGGUUCUGUGUUGACGCAGAAGGUGAACGGCCGCGUCUGAUGGCACAACUUCAAACUGCCUUCAAACCACCAUAUUUUGGGGAUACCUUUGGGGCCCAGUGUCUGAUCUGUACCCACUUCAUUGAAACUGUGAAAGGACUCCUGCCCAAAGACGAACUCGAGGACGUUCUUAACCUGGUGCUGGGCCAGGGGUGUAACUUGCUUCCUAACACCCUUAAGGUCGAAUGUGAGAAAUCCAUCAACCUAGCCACCAAGACAGUGAUUGAGCUGGUCAUGUCCUUCAUCUCCCCUGACACCAUCUGCAGCCUCCUCCUCCUCUGCACAGACAGCUCUGUGGAGUUACCCAUCACGGAGGCAGCAUGGAUAUAGUGAAGAUGGUUUCAAAAGGACAACACUUCAGUUUUCAGGCCCUUUCCUUUUCGCAUCCUCCCCUAUGUCAGUGAUGGUGGCAUGGCAUGGAUCUCUACACAAGUGCUGACGUGAUAAUAGUGUGUGGUAUGACUGUCAAACUAGCCCACAGGAGUCCAGCCUCACCCAAUCCUUAGGAGUUCUCCCGAAUGUUUGAGAACCUUUAGUGAAGUACUAUAUAAAACCUAACAAACAGCCCCAUUCCUCCCACUCUUGAUGACCCAAGCUGAAUUAUUUAAUUCCUAGCUUGCAUGAUUCCUGUAAUAAAUUUCACUUGCUAAGCA
rnacentral:lncRNA from 1 species